ACCUGGGUGGCUCAGUCGGUUGAGCGUCUGACUUCAGCUCAGGUCAUGAUCUCACGGUUCGUGAGUUCGAGCCCCGCGUCGGGCU
rnacentral:tRNA from 1 species